GCCUUACCCGAAAAAAGCGCAACCGAAUCCAUAGAGUAGAGAGCAAUUCCAUUUGCGGUUCACACUUGGACGGGCCUAUGGCCGACGAUUCAGAGGAGGGUGCGUUCCCGGAAGAGCAAGGUUCCGCUAGCUCGGAUUUGGAGGCAUGUCCGUCUCCCAGCAAACGCCCGAAGACCCUAGCCCUUAACCCAUCUCCGAUCUCCAGCUCGAAAGGGAAAGAGAAAAUCGAAUAUGAAAAGGAGGAAGAAACCAUGGAUUCUGUUUCCGACGUUUGUGGUAUUUGUUUGUCUGACGACGGGAAGGCUAUCAGAGGCUGGAUUGAUAGCUGCAAUCACUACUUCUGUUUCGUCUGCAUCAUGGAGUGGUCCAAGGUUGAAUCUCUUUGCCCUAUGUGCAAACAGAGAUUCAGCACCAUUCGCCGUCCACCCAAGGAAGGAGUUUUCCUUUCCGAAAGGAUCGUUAAUGUCCCUGUUCGCAAUCAGGUUUACCAUCCUCUUGGAAAUUCAAUGAUUGGACCUUCUGACCCUUAUGCAGAAGUUCGGUGUACUGAAUGCCAUAGUACUGCAGAUGAAAAUCUUCUACUACUUUGUGAUCUUUGUGAUUCAGCUGCUCAUACUUACUGUGUUGGACUUGGUGUAACUGUACCUGAGGGUGAUUGGUAUUGCCAUGAUUGUGCUGUUUCUAGGGAUGACCACAGUAACAGUCAAACUGACAUUGAUGGUUGCAAUCAAAAUUUUUCCAAAAGCUUUGGUACCAAAGUAGCUGAAACACAUGUUUCAAUUUUUGAUAUUGUACGAGAAUCAGAUACCCCUGAAGGUGAUGUCUCUCCCUCCAUUGUAACUCAGAGGGGCACCUGUUCAGCAUCUAGAGUGAGGGAAACCUGUAUAGCUCAAAGGGACACAAGUGCAGCAUCUCGAGUGAGUGAUGCCACUGUAACCCAAAGAGACACCAGUGCGGCAUCUAGAGUGAGGGAUACCAGUGCAGCAUCUAGAGUGAGUGAUCCAAGUGCGAGAACAUUGCGACGCUGCCGCAAUGUCCAAGUUCGUAUACAGGCCUUAAGAGAAAAUUGGAGUGCUUUACGAAGUGGAUCAGUGCGCUUCUCAUCUAGUUUACUUGAUUCAUGUGGCAAAAGGAAUACAAAAAAUAGUAAUGGGGCAAUAAUUUCUGACAGAUUAAGUCUUUCACGAUCAUCACCUUCCAUGAGUUCUCAGCAGAUAACUUCCAUGGACAGCGUUUCUGGUGAUACGUUCAGCAGUAGAGGUUCAUAUGAUAUUGAUAGAGCCUGGAAAAUGUUGGACAUUGCAAAAUCAUUACAACGGGCUCCUAAAGGGACCCACAAUGACCAUCAGGACUCUACUUAUCCCUUUACCAAAAGGCAUUCCCCAAAAGAAGCAAACAACAUAACCUCAACAUUUUCUGUACCCAAAAACAAAGCAUUCACUGGCACUGAUCUGGGAAAUGUUAAAAUAGAAAAAAGCUAUAAUUGUCGAACCUCUGAAAAGGAAAAGCCAAGUAAGGAAACAAUCAAAGAGAGAGUUAAGGUGAAUGCAUCUCAGAAGCAUGGAGGGAAAAUCGAACAACCUUGCUUCAGUGGGGGAUUGACAAACUCUAAGGAUGGAACAGAUGGGAGUGCUUGUCCGAUUACCCUGGUUAAUUCAGCACCAGGGUGUUCUGAGGUAUCUUGUGGCAGACCAGAGUUUGGUGUAUCUCUACUUAGCAAGGUAGGGACUCCUAUAGGACGGGGUGAACUGGAAAAGGAACUUGCUGAAGGCACAACAAGAAAAGAUGAUGCUAAGAGUGAGGUCCAGUCUUUGGUGAAACUUAACCUGAAGUUGCUAAACAGAGAUAAAAAAUUAGGGGAAGAAUAUGGAGAGGACCAGAGAAGAAAUACAUUGGGGCUUGUCCCUUCCAGGCUAGUCCUUGCCUCCUUGGGUUCUAGGGCUGUUAUGGUCAUCCUGUGGAGGAAGUUAUCAGAAGGUAGUUUGCUAGAGUAUGUAGAAAUUCAAAAAAAAAAAAAAAGGAAAAGGGAAAUGGUUCCUUUAAUUGGUCAAGAAGUAAUGACCACUAAAACCUCCUUUUGGCUUUUCUGCAGAAAACAAAAAUUAGAAUAUGAUCAUAAAUUGGCUGAUAAGAAAAUGGAAAAGGAAAGAGAAAAAGAAUAUUGAUGGUGCACGAUCUGGAUGCUCCUAGCUGUAAAGCAGCUCGAACGCCUGCCGCUAAGUAGGUCGCUCGAACUGCAAAGAAAAGGAGGGAUCAGAAAACCUAGGGUGGCUAACCCGGUGAGGAGGGGAGUAACGUACCAGUCAAUGAUAAUAUGUGAGCUGAAUAUUUGAGAACAAUGAGCUAGAAUGCACUUCAUUGCACGUACCGGGGUCCUAGGGGGUUGAUGCCCUUAUAUAGUUGAGCUUCCGUGGGUCUCAUGAAAUGACUCCGGGAUCUUGGGUCCGUGUAGAUGGGAUCCAUUCCGCUUUAGGAGGGGAGUAACGUACCAGUCAAUGAAGUCUAUCGUUACCGUCCGAUCCGGGCGGGGAGAGGAUAAGUCCUGCCGUUACGCGGCGUGAUCCCGAGAGAUUCAGAGUCCACUGAGAAGUUUCUGGAGUUGAUUACGUGAUCAAUUGCCCCCCACUCCUUGUGCCAAGGGUCCUGACCCGGCACGGGGAGUUCAUGACGAGCCCAGGUGGAUUUAGCACGAUGUCUAGGUGAUACGAAGGGCGGACCUUUGGUCGGACCUGUAUGACCGCUUGGCUCGACCAAGAAAUGACCCAGAUCGCAUAUCAGGUAUGCGUGGACAUCACGCCGAUUAUAAACUUCGCGGACGUCACGCCGAUUAUAAACUCCGCGGACGUCAAAACGUGUGCUCAACUGAUUUCAACCUCAGGUGGCGUGCAGUCGGUUUUCAUGGGAGCCAUCGGAUCACACAGAUCUUGACUGUUGAUCCUCGGGAUAUGGUGACUAUAAAUAGGGGCCAAAGGGCCCAUUUUCCUCGCCACAAACCGCGUGACUGAGCUCUUUGAGAUCGCGUUCAAGUCUCCUAGCUCGGUGUCAGCUAUCCCCAUGUCCGAGGUCGUUUUGCUUUCUUUAGUCUUCUUUGGUGAGUUCGCCUUUCCUUGUUUCCGAUUCCAUUGUCCAUUCCAUUAGUAUGUCUAGCCUUAGUUUAGAUAGUCUUUUAGAUGGGGAGCGGUGAGUCCGCUGGGGCCGAGGCGGCAGAGUCUCGUCCUGUCGAGGUGGGCACCUUGGCGUAGGAUGUUGACUCCAACCCGUCCGAGGCGGACUCACCUCGGCAAGAGCGUGAGGCUUCUGGUAGGCCGGCUUCCACUUUGCGUCAAGGUCGAUGAUGGGGAGUGGUGAGUCCGCUGGGGCCGAGGCGGCAAAGUCUCGUCCUGUCGAGGUGGGCACCUCGGCGCAGGAUGUUGACUCCAACCCGUCCGAGGCGGACUCACCUCGGCAAGAGCGUGAGGCUUCUGGUAGGUCGGCCUCCACUUCGCGUCGAGGUCGAUUGCCGGACAGCUUCGGCCCGUCUUCAAUGACAGUGGACAGGCUCUUGUCCUUAGUAGCUCGGUAUAGGCUACCCAACAACUUAGUAUACAACAUUCCCUUAGGCAACUUUACGUGGGAUCACGACCAUGACGAGAUCGUGGUCUUCGAGGAGCAGCUUGUAGCCGGGCUUCGUUUCCACUCCAUCCCUUCAUAGUUGAGAUCGUCAAAUUUUUUGACAUCGCCAUAAACCAGUUCCAUCCGAACUCUAUCCGUAACGUUGUAUGUACCAUCUCACUUUUCCACGAUUAUAACCGACCCCUGGACCUCGACACCUUUUCCUCAAUCUUAUCUAUCAAAAAUAAUUCAGCCUGUGUUUUCCCCGAGCACAGGCGAAGCUAUAAUAUGUCUCCUCACCCUGGGUAUAAAUUGUUGCACGAGCUCCCAAACAAAGUCUCGGCCUAGAAGAGGUGUUAUUUUGUAGUCCAUAACACCGAGGAGUGGCCGUUUCCAACUCACUGGAGGGCUGCCAUCCAGGACCCCAGCGUCAGAUUGGAUCAAAAGUCACGGGAGGAAGUCCGAUCUUGGGCGAAGCUCGGGCUGAAGUUCGAUAAUUUCGUGACCGAAGAGAAGCUCGUACAAGCCGGGCUAAGUCCUCCUGCUGCCAUGGCUGACAUCCCCGCUGACGAGCUUUUCAGGAGCAUGUAGAAGGGGAAGCAGAAGAAGAGGGCCUCCUAGAAGGCUCGCCUCCAUGAAUACACCACUACUCCCGACAUCGGCACCACCGUCCCUGAGCAGCCGCCAGUGAUCAACUUGGUCAAAGAGGACCAAGGUAAAACUUCUCCGCCCCACUUGCCCGAGGAGACCACAUCUUCCGAGCCUCAACAUGCUUAGGCGACCACCCGCUCGAGUGGUGACACCUCAGUUCGGAGCAUCUUGACUCCGAAGUUCGGUCUCCUCAAGAGCAAGGACGCAGUCUUUGCCGAGGAGGUUGCUCGUUGGGCCAAUUUACCGGUCGCUUAGCUCGGGGCUAGAGCAGCAACUCAUUGCAUGGUGGUGAACUCUUCGAUCCAUGCCCUAGCCUACCGGUCCGAGGUGAACCUGAAGCAAGCUCUCAAAGCCGAGGAGUCCUCCUGAAGUGCCCACUCCGAAUUGAACCUAGCUCGCAGCGAGAUCAACAAGCUACAAAAAGAUGCGCGAGCUAAGAAGGAAUUGUUGACUCUGUUGAUGGCAGAGAAGAAGGAGCUAGAGGAGCGCGAGGCGACUCUUAAGAGUGAGAACGAGAACCUCGAGGCGCUGGUGAAGGAGUGGACUGAUAUUUUGCUCAGUGCAAUAGAGGAGGCCAAGGUCAAGGCCAUCGAGGAGUACAAAUCUUUGGCGAAACAUUGUGAUUUGUUGAUUGAUGCUGGGGCAGUGGGCUACCGCAAGGGCUUUAAGCUUAGCAGAUGGUUGACCCGGUGUGAAUUCCCACAUCUCGAUCUCAGUGCCAUCACGACGUCGAAGAUCACCAAGGAGAUGGCCGUUGAAGCUGCUAAAGACCCAGACUCCGAAGAGGAGAGCGAUGAUGACCUUGGUGACGAGACAUCAGAAGAGGGAGAGGGAGAUGGUGCCGCCGAGGAUCGUAUAGAGACUGACCAGUCUAUCGAUGCUUCUACUGGGGAUGAGGAGCCCCGAGUUGAUUGAUGCCUCUUUUCUUGGAACCCCUGUAUAUACUCGAUGUCCUGAGUCUCCGAGCUCGGUUAUAUAGUUGUAAUCUUCUUGUUCUUGCUCCCCCCUUUUUUUUUCUUUUUUUCUUUUUCUAUGUACCUGAAAUGCUUCAUUAAUGAAUACAACAGUUCAAAAAUUUCUUGUGUGCAAAAAAUUUUUCUAAGUAUAGAUUACUCCCGAGCUAGUGAGCUAGAAUCAAAUAGGAGCAAAGAUUUUUCUAAGUAUAGAUUACUCCCGAGCUGGCAAGCUAGACUCGAAUAGGAAUAACCCAACGUCAUUGUACGUCGAGGUGAACAAACACUGUAGGGUAUAUGCCCGACUUGUCUGUGCCUAGGCUAUUUUUGCCUUACCCAUGCCAAAGCGAUUGGGGUUUUCGGUUGCCCAUGCCGAAGCGACUAGGUCUUAGUGAGCCUAUGCAAAGAGGCGAAUAGGUAUUACAUUGUGCCGAUGUCUCUUAUCAGCUCGUUACCAUAGCCCUUAGGCUUCUAAGAGUGACUUGGAGUCCUCUUUCCAGUUCGUCGUCCUUAAGAUUAGCUUGGUGAUCUUGUGGACUUAGUUGUUUUUCAGUUGCAUUGGGGUUUCACAGAUAGUAUCUCCUUAGGUUUUCAAUGCUCCAAGCUCGAGGUACUUGUUUUCCUUCCAUAGUUUUGAGCUCGUAGGUUCCUUCUCCAAACAUUCGUCUCACCCGAUAUGGACCUUCCCAGUUCGGGCCAAGCUUACCCAUGUCGGGCUCAGGUGCCAUUACCUUAUAGAGGACCAAGUUGCCGACUCGGAGUAGUCGCUUCUUGACCCGGGCGUUAUAAUACCGAGCUACUCUUUGUUGGUAAGCCACAGUUCGAAUGGGGGCCAAGUCGUGCACUUCUUCAACCAGGUCUAAGUUAGUCCGGAGCUCGUCAUUGUUUGCCUCUUCAUCAUACACUUCGAGCCGCAACGUUGGUACUUCAAUCUCUGUCGGAAUCACGAAUUCCGUCCCAUAUGUGUGGUUGAAGGGUGUUUCAACGAUCGCGAUCUUGAUGGUAGUCCGGUAGGCCCAAAGGACACUGGACAACUCGUCCACCCACAACCCUUUGGCUCGCGCAAGGUGAUCUUUCAGUCUGCGGAGAAUAGCCCUGUUCAUCACUUCGGCCUAUCCAUUUGCUUGCGGGUGUGUUACCGAAGUGAAAUUUUGCUGAAUUCCCAUCUCAGCACACCAGUUUUGGAAUUUGAUGUCCUCGAAUGCUUCCCGUUAUUCGAGAUCAACACUCUGGGCAGUCCGAAAUGACAUGAUGUUUUUCCAAAAGAAAUUCUGCAUGUUCCGGGCUGUGAUGCUUACCAACGGUUUGGCCUCCACCCAUUUUGUGAAGUAGUCUACUACCACGACCAAGAACUUCCUCUGCCCAGUUGUCGGCGGAAAUAGACCAAGGAUGUCAAUUCCCCACUGCACGAAGGGCCAUGGGCUAGUCAAGUACUUCAGGUCGGCGGUGGACUGAUGGAGAAUGUUGGCAUGCCUUUGACAUCUGUCACAUUUCUUGACAAGCUCGAGCACUUCUGCCUUCAUAGUGGGCCAAUAGUAGCCCUGCCUUAAUGCCUUUUGGGCGAGCGCUCUAUUCCCCAAGUGUCCUCCGCAUAACCCUUCAUGGAUGUCGCGAAGUACGAACUCAGCUUCUGAGGGUCACAAGCAACGUAGGUAGGGGAGCGUGAAGGACUUCUUGUAUAGUCGUCCGUCUAUAAGGACGUAUUGAGCUGAUUGACGCUCUACCCUUCGAGCUGCAUUACGUUCUGCAAGUAGGGUUCCGUGGAGUAGAUAAUCAAUGAGCGGGUCAAUCCAGCUCGGUUCCGCUUGCAACACGGGAGCGACCUCUUCUGCCCCCUCGAGAAUGCUAGGCUGAGGUAGGUCCUCUAUAUACACAAUUCGCAUGGUGUUGCUGCUGCUACUUGCUAGUCUUGACAGGGCAUCGCCUUCAACAUUCUCGGAUCUUGGUAUCUGCCUGAUGAAACAAGAGCGAAAGCCUGGUAGGAUCUCCCUAACUUUGGCUAAGUAGGCCGCCAUAGUUGAGUCACAAGCUUUGUAAUCACCAUUGGCUUGGUUAACUACCAGCUGAGAGUCGCUACACAUGAUAAGAUGUUUUGUACCCAUUUCCUUCGCUAAGUUUAGCCCGACAAUUAGUGCCUCAUACUCAUUGUUCGACGCUUCGAAUCCGAAUUGGAGAGCGUACUCCAGCUUCACUUCGCUCGCUGGUUGGAUGAGUUGUCUACGUGGAGGAUCCAGGGCUCCUCGUCACAGGUCGAUGUUUCUCUAACCGGGACCGGUGCCACGUUGGUUGACGCCUCUGACACGUUAGUGGGCUUAGUCGGUUCAGGGGCCGGCGUGUUGAAUGUGCAUUCUGCUAUGAAGUCUGCCAAGACUUGGGCUUUGAUCGCUAGCCAUGGCUCAAACUGGAUGUCGUACUCACUCAGCUCGAUGUGCCUCAGAGGUCUAUUAGUAAGGACAACGAUGGUAUGGGCUUGGAAGUAUGGGCGCAAUUUCCGAGCUGCUACUACUAGCGCGUACGCUAGCUUCUCGGUGUUAGGAUAUCUAGUUUCCACGUCCUGCAAAACUUUACUUACGUAGUAGAUGGGUCGUUGGACCCAGUCUACUCUGAUCAGUAUCAAGCUGACCACCUCGUCACUCGCGAAGAGGUACAACAUCAAUUCAUCUCCUUCCUCAGGUCGUGUUAAAAUCGAGGCGGUACGUAGGUACCUUUUUAGCUCAUCGAACGCAAACUGGCACUUUUCGAUCCAUUCGAAAUUUUUGUUCUUUUUUAUUGCCUUAAGAAUGGGUAGACACCGACCUGCCGAUUUAGACAUAAAUCGGUUUAGGGCAGCUACAUAGCCAGUUAGUCGUUGGACUUCCUUGAUUUUUUGGGGUGGUCGCAUAUCUAAAAUAGCCUUAAUUUUAUCCAGAUUAGUUUCGAUGCCACGUCAGUUCACUAUGUAACCGAGGAGCUUGCCCGACGUGACCCCGAAGACACACUUAUUUGGGUUUAACUUCAUAUUAUACUUCCUUAAAAUUUGAAAAACAACAUUUAAAUCAUUGAUCAAAGAUCUAGAAAACUGGGUUUUCAUGACCAUGUCAUCAACAUAACACUCCACUUUAUUGCCAAUCAAAGGUUCAAAAAUAUUGUUUACAAAUCACUGGAAAGUUGCUCCAGCAUUUUUCAAACCAAAGGGCAUGACUUUGUAAUAGUACAACCCGAGUUCGGUUACAAAAGUAGUUUUAUCCUAGAUGGCUAUGUCUAUCCUAAUUUGGUUGUAGCCAGAGUAGGCGUCCAUGAAACUCAGCAACUCAUGCCCUGAGGUCGCGUCUACUAGGCGGUCUAUUCUGGGCAGGGGAAAGCAAUCCUUCGGGCAAGCUCUGUUCAGGUCGGUGUAGUUGACGCACAUGCGCCACUUGC